UUCCGUAGGUGAACCUGCGGAAGGAUCAUUACCGAGUUUUCGGGCUUCGGCUCGACUCUCCCACCCUUUGUGAACGUACCUCUGUUGCUUUGGCGGCUCCGGCCGCCAAAGGACCUCCAAACUCCAGUCAGUAAACGCAGACGUCUGAUAAACAAGUUAAUAAACUAAAACUUUCAACAACGGAUCUCUUGGUUCUGGCAUCGAUGAAGAACGCAGCGAAAUGCGAUAAGUAAUGUGAAUUGCAGAAUUCAGUGAAUCAUCGAAUCUUUGAACGCACAUUGCGCCCCUUGGUAUUCCGGGGGGCAUGCCUGUUCGAGCGUCAUUACAACCCUCAAGCUCUGCUUGGAAUUGGGCACCGUCCUCACUGCGGACGCGCCUCAAAGACCUCGGCGGUGGCUGUUCAGCCCUCAAGCGUAGUAGAAUACACCUCGCUUUGGAGUGGUUGGCGUCGCCCGCCGGACGAACCUUCUGAACUUUUCUCAAGGUUGACCUCGGAUCAGGUAGGGAUACCCGCUGAACUUAAGCAUAUCAAUAAGCGGAGGAAGAUCAUUACCGAGUUUUCGGGCUUCGGCUCGACUCUCCCACCUUUGUGAACGUACCUCUGUUGCUUUGGCGGC
rnacentral:rRNA from 1 species